UACCACUUCCACACAGGCCUGAGCGCUUCACUCUGGGCAUCCAAAGCCAGGAGUUGGCUCCAGCUAGAGUCCAGACAGCAGCAGAGGUGAAGUUCCCUGUCACACAGUCACAGGCUAGAACUCAGUCACAUCCACGCCUGACUGCGAGCGGGACUGGAAAGUGCCCCGAGGAAACUCCAGGACUCCAACGCCAAGUAAAGGGAGCGUAGAUAUUAGACAGACAGAGCCUGUCCCUGGCUCAGAACCAGUUGCGGUGGAGAGCGGAGGAAGGAGGCCAUGGGAACCACUCCUCUUGCCCUGCUGAGGGUGUCUGGGUGGAUGAGGGCCACCGCGGACCCAGGCCAGGAUGGCUGCUGUGGGGGAGGAGACCGCCAGGGCAGCAGUGACAGCCAAGAGCAGUGAGCGAGAGAAAAAAGACCAGUGUUUUACUGGCUUAUGGGGAGGCAGCUAUCACCAGAGCUACAAGACUCUGCAAAGAAACCCGUGCACUUCCAAGUUCGUGGUGAAAGGAAAGACACUUGGCAGCUGGGCAGGACUUUAUUUUUUGAGACAGAGUCUCGCUCUGUUGUCAGGCUGGAGUGCAGUGGCACGAUCUCGGCUCACUGCAACCUCCGCCUCCCGGGUUCAAGCAAUUCUCCUGCCUCAACCUCCCGAGUAGCUGGGAUUACAG